UAAAAUUUGCAGUGUGUAAAAUGUUAAUAGACCAUUACGAAGCUACACACGCAGGAACACACGCAGGAAGCCACGUGUGAAUAUCCAGGAAAUUGAAGACUAGUUCAGCAUUUAGUUAUUUUUGACUCUUUCUUAAUUUGUUAUUUUUUUUAGUUAUUUUAGGAGAUUUAUGCUCCAUGUAAUCAAGAUUGUGAUUCCUUUGAUUGUGAAGGUUGUUACCUACAAUCUGUAUAAAUAAUCAAUAAUAAUCAAUGAAGAGGAACUUGAAAAUCAA
rnacentral:misc_RNA from 1 species